AUGCUGCAGUCAGGCAGAGGCCCAGAGCAUCCCUCCAGCUGCUCCCCUCCCCCCGGUGACCCACACCAACAAGAAGGUCCAAGUGGAGCAGCCCUUCCAUCACACCCAUUCAUUCUGCCCUACCACGCACUCCACAGCCAACUUGUUGUGGCUUUUCCCACUUUUCUGCAUGCCCUGUGGGAAAGGCACUGCCUGGAGGAGCAGGCUCCACCACAAAAACAGAGCUUUCAUAUGCAAGCCUUCAGAGAAGCAAUCGCUGCCAUCAGACAGUUGGGUCUGAGUUCCAUCUGUGAAACACCUGCAGGCACUGCUGAGCAGCUCUCCCAAGGCAACCCAGGCAGGCUGGCAGGCUGCAGCGGGUCAAACGCAGCCACUUGGCAUCGCUCUGCUCCCACCUGGAUAGGGAGGCAGGCACUCUGAUACAAUGUGUUCCUAUAUUCUAAUAUAAACGUCCACAAAUAUUUGCACACAGCUUUCCACAAGCGUUCUGGCAGUACAAUGUAAUUACUUGAAAGUUUUCGGAGAGCAAACACAAAAGUAUUGAGAACUGGCUUAACAGAUCCAUUAAAAAACUAAACAAACACCACGUGUAUUUUGCUCCUUCCAUGGCAACCUGCCGUUCCUCUUAUCACCAGCUUCCCACUGUGCUCUGUGCAGCACAGCAGCCCCCUGCUUGCAGCUCUGGCUCUGUGAAGGAAGUGCAAAGGCAAUGCAACCUCGCUGCAGUGCUGGAGAGCACUGGGGAACACUCAGGACAAGCCUGUAGCCACAGAGUCAUUCAACUGAAAGUAAAGUAACUUGGAAAUGACACCAAAACAGUGACCUGUCACUUGCAUUUUAGAGUUUGGGCAGGAAACUCCUCAUGAGACUGUUCGCCAGAGCAAAGCAAAUUAAAGAAAUCCACAGCAGCUGUGUUAGUUGCUUUGACUUCUUAACCACAACGUAUCCAAGUGAACCCAGUUUUCAAUCUACCCAAGCUGCUGCAGUGUUUUGGUUUUUUCCCCUCAAUCUGAAGUUUUGGCAUGCAAAAGGACACAAGAGGGAGACCCUUCCCAACAGUCAGAAAGCCACCUGUGAGUUUCUCUUUCAGUUAUCUCAGUCAGAUGGCUCUGGGGAGCUUUUAUUUCAUUUUACAACGAAUGCACAUUUCAGUUACCCAGCUAAAUCGCUGCAUGUUAGGUAAAUAAAUAGUCCUUUUUUUGUAAUGCUGGACACAACCUGUGAAAAUUUUCUGCAUUUAGAUUCAACAAUGCUCCUCUUAUCUACAGCUCAUCUCAAGAGAGACAAUUACCAUUUCCUCUGCCUUGAUCUUGUUUGUUUAACUUGACACAGUGAAGAAAGGGCUGACAUUGACCAAAAUCCCCAGCAUUAAUUUAGCUCAUGUUCAGCAUUCAUCAUUGCCACCAUGCAGGAAAGACAUGGCACUCACUUGAAAUACCACACCAAGAAAGACUCCACAAAAACAAAGCUGGUUAGCAAACUGCUUAUGCAAGAGGAGGACAAACACUCAGUAGCACCUUUAAUUUUCUCAUUUUAAAGCCCUGCAAAAAGCAGACAUACAGGUUGCCAACGUAAUGUUCAUACAAAUGGAGGUAUUGCUUCUCAACCCAGGACUUACAAUGGGACAACAUGGACUACAUGUCUUCUAACCAUAAGCUCCUCCUUUACAGUUUGCCAGGCUAUUUUGAACACCGCAGUCAUUUUUAACAGGGUCAGGUAUGUGUCAGCAUGCAUAACUACAAUGUCUUCCAAACAAACAACCAUCUUACUUGGAAUAUAAUUAAACAUAAUUUCUGUAUAAAAAAGCCAAGUUCAGAUCUGCACUGUGGCAUACUUUGAAAAUGUGACCUGUUCUUUGGGUUAAUUGCUCCUGCACAGAAAAUAUCCUUGAGUUUGGAAGGUGCUUAAAACUAGCUGUGUGUGUCAUUUCUGUCCCGUGCUCUGGCAAACAGCAUCAGCAGGACUGUGGUACCCAACAGCACUCACCUCCUCCCCAGCACAGCUCUUCUGCUCAGGAGGAGGAGGGGGACUGAACACCUGUGCCUACAGUUAUAACAGUUACAGUUUCUUUGGAACAGAGAAAUUCUUACCUGCAAAAACUCAAUGAGCUCCACCUGCCCGUUUUUGUUCAGAUCUACUUCAUGCAGAAUAUCGUGGAGUGUUUUUUCAUCAAUCUGCACAUUGAUGCUCUAGACAGAAAACAAACAAACAAACAAACCCAAAAGCCAACUUUUAGCAGGGUCAGUUAAGCAUCAAGGUACGUAACCAUAAACCUUCCAAAAAACAACCAUCUUAUUUUGAACAUCAUUAAACAUAAUUUCUGUAUUAGAAAGCCAAAUUCAGAUCUGCACCACGGUACACUUUGCAAUCUGGACCUGUUUGAUAGACAACAAAGUACAUCAACAGCAUUGCUCAGCACUACUUAUGCCACAUUGCAAUUAAAAANNNNNNNNNNNNNNNNNNNNNNNNNNNNNNNNNNNNNNNNNNNNNNNNNNNNNNNNNNNNNNNNNNNNNNNNNNNNNNNNNNNNNNNNNNNNNNNNNNNNCACCCCCCCAUGACAUUCCUGAAAGCAGAGGCGAGGUGCUGCAGUUCCCUGUGUGCAGGCACAGCGCUGUAGCCAGCACUCAGCCUCGUCUGCACUCAGGGCAGCUGUACAAAAUCCUGCUGUGCCGCACAGGAGCAGAGAUCCACGACAGUAAAACACCCACGGCGCAAAGCAGACUCGUAUGGAGGACACGUGUGUAGCCAAGGAAACCCCAAAGUCACACUGUGUGUGUGGCGUUACCAAACCAGGAGCGAAGGACGAAGUCUGGGUGCACAGCAGAACAUCCUGGCUUUACAGGGAAGCUCGCAGCGUUCAUUCUUAACAGUUCCAUUUACAGAGGAGUGGAGGAGAAUUUUUCUUCAAACCGCACAAAAGUUAUUUAAUAUUUGAAACAUUUUUCUUUACGUGGUCUGGAAAAGGUCUCACGACUUUAACAGAUACAUCUGUUUAAAUAAUACAGUGAACCGUGGGCUCCCACCCUGCCCCCCUCCAACCUCCCUCCUGCUGCUGAGCCCCAAGACACCCACUUCCACUCCAUGCUGUGCUGUGUGUGAUGUAAACUCUCUUACC
ensembl:lncRNA